rnacentral:rRNA from 1 species
UUUUCGCAAUGGGCGAAAGCCUGACGGAGCAACGCCGCGUGAGGGAGGAAGGUCUUUGGAUUGUAAACCUCUUUUCUCAAGGAAGAAGUUCUGACGGUACUUGAGGAAUCAGCCUCGGCUAACUCCGUGCCAGCAGCCGCGGUAAUACGGGGGAGGCAAGCGUUAUCCGGAAUUAUUGGGCGUAAAGCGUCCGCAGGUGGUCAGCCAAGUCUGCCGUCAAAUCAGGUUGCUUAACGACCUAAAGGCGGUGGAAACUGGCAGACUAGAGAGCAGUAGGGGUAGCAGGAAUUCCCAGUGUAGCGGUGAAAUGCGUAGAGAUUGGGAAGAACAUCGGUGGCGAAAGCGUGCUACUGGGCUGUAUCUGACACUCAGGGACGAAAGCUAGGGGAGCGAAAGGGAUUAGAUACCCCCUG